AACGAACGCUGGCGGCGUGCCUAAUACAUGCAAGUCGAGCGAAUCACUGGGAGCUUGCUCCCGGUGGUUAGCGGCGGACGGGUGAGUAACACGUGGGCAACCUGCCUGUAAGACUGGGAUAACUUCGGGAAACCGGAGCUAAUACCGGAUAAUUUCUUCCCUCACAUGAGGGAAGGUUGAAAGUCGGUUUCGGCUGACACUUACAGAUGGGCCCGCGGCGCAUUAGCUAGUUGGUGAGGUAACGGCUCACCAAGGCGACGAUGCGUAGCCGACCUGAGAGGGUGAUCGGCAACACUGGGACUGAGACACGGCCCAGACUCCUACGGGAGGCAGCAGUAGGGAAUCUUCCACAAUGGACGAAAGUCUGAUGGAGCAACGCCGCGUGAGCGAUGAAGGCCUUCGGGUCGUAAAGCUCUGUUGUCAGGGAAGAACAAGUAUCGGAGUAACUGCCGGUGCCUUGACGGUACCUGACCAGAAAGCCACGGCUAACUACGUGCCAGCAGCCGCAGUAA
rnacentral:rRNA from 1 species